rnacentral:rRNA from 1 species
GAUGUGUAGGUGCUGCAUGGUUGUCGUCAGCUCGUGCGUGAGGUGUCGGCUUAAGUGCCAUAACGAGCGCAACCCUCAUCAUUAGUUACCAUCAGGUAAGGCUGGGGACUCUAAUGAGACUGCCAUCGUAAGAUGUGAGGAAGGUGGGGAUGACGUCAAAUCAGCACGGCCCUUACGUCCGGGGCGGACACACGUGUUACAAUGGGUGGUACAAAGGGCAGCUACCUGGCGACAGGAUGCUAAUCUCGAAAACCGCUCUCAGUUCGGAUCGGAGUCUGCAACUCGACUCCGUGAAGCUGGAUUCGCUAGUAAUCGCGCAUCAGCCACGGCGCGGUGAAUACGUUCCCGGGCCUU